rnacentral:pre_miRNA from 1 species
CGGGGGAGGCUGGAUCCUGGGCUGUGUCCCGGCGCCCUGUGCUCCAGGGCCUGCCUGUUGGAUUCGCUCCCGCCCCACAGCCCCCU